UACGUAGGGUGCAAGCGUUUGUCCGGAAUUAUUGGGCGUAAAGAGCUCGUAGGUGGUUUGUCGCGUUGUUCGUGAAAACCGGGGGCUUAACCCUCGGCGUGCGGGCGAUACGGGCAGACUUGAGUACUGCAGGGGAGACUGGAAUUCCUGGUGUAGCGGUGGAAUGCGCAGAUAUCAGGAGGAACACCGGUGGCGAAGGCGGGUCUCUGGGCAGUAACUGACGCUGAGGAGCGAAAGCGUGGGGGAGCGAACAGG
rnacentral:rRNA from 1 species